UACAUCUAUCACAACUUAAAACUUAUUCUUUAGCCGCGCGGGUCACCUAUUUAGAACUGAUUCAUUCUUGUUUCAGGCCAAGUUCACCAAUUUCGGGCGAUGGCGUUAGGGCAAAGACCGUUCCUGGAUUCACCCUUCACGAAUCAUUUGCGGGAGUUAGAAAGUUAUAGGCGGACUAAAACGAGAACCAAACGCAAGUGGCAGCGACCAACAAUUCGUACAAAGCAUUAAACCAAACCAGCCAAUCCCAAGAGAGUGCAAUGGUGAUAGGGGGCGAAUCUUCUUGGGGUCCAUACAAUGCCGGUUACUCCACCUCACCGACGGGCUACCUUCCCAAUUACCACGGCACCGAGCCACCCACUUUCGAAUCGCCUGUAAAUACUCAUGUUCCUGCAUUCUCCGAGCACUCGGCGAUCCCCAACAACGAGUACAGCAUGUACUCGACCGGAGCGCCUCGAGCGCGGAGAGCGACCCGCUGGCCACGUACCAGGGUAGCGGUGGCGGAGGCAGUCGCUACGACGGCGGCGACUACCAGAACGCGAGCGCGCACUGCACACCCACGUCCGGCGGAGCCACCUACUGGACCAACAACGGGACCACUGCCCAGGGCUACAACUACCCCAACUACUACGGCGGCAACGGUGGCUCGACGGCCGUCCAGCCGUACGUGGCGCCGCACCCGCACCCUCAUCCGCCGCCACCCCCGCCUCCGCCCCCUCCGCCGACCAUGGUCCUCUACCCGCACCUCUACUCGACGGUGAACCAGAACCAGAUCCACCUCCACCUCCACCACAGCGAGAUCAACAAGCCGAUCGAGCAGUUCGCCGAGGACGUCUCGUCCAUCGUCGGUGGUAACAACCUCACCAUCAGCUCCGGCGGGAACCGGGGGAUCGAGAUCGGCAUCCUCCACCACAACCAGAUCCAGGAGGAGGCCCAGGAUGUCGUCAUUACUCGUUACAACGACAGGCAGCACGCCGAUCCUUCCGUGUGGCGACCCUAUUGAGCUUUGACUCCGGGGUGAGGGCAGAACGCAGGUGCUGUGAGCCAAUUAUUGAACUCGACAGACAAAGCUAUAGACAAAGAAGACAAAAGAGAUCGACCAAUUGGUUGAAAAGGGUGGUUCCUAUAAACUAAGGGAGACAAUGGUGGACUAGCUGUAGGGAUUACGUACCCCUGGUCGAUUACGUUAGUCGAUUACGUACCCCUUUUGUCCAUUGCGAUCACCCGCUCUUUCAAUAGGAUCUCUCCAAAUUCCUUUUGUCUUCUUGUCUGCAGCUUUGUGAUCAAUUUCAAUAAUCGGUCCGCUGGUCAGCUACGGAAUGACCUUGGACUACCGCAUGAUCUGAUUUAGGAACUUUGUAUCUUCAGACAAAUACCAAUUAAAAAUGACUGAUUAGAUCAAACUUUGCAUGAACCCAUGCAAAAUUCUUGGUCGCACUGUUGUUUAUAGCCCAUUCUUCGACAGAUGAAUCCCCUUCUUCAUCAUUUGUCCGGAGUGUAAUCAUGUUAAAAUCACGGGAGAAAAAGUUGGAAGAAUUUAACUUACUUUUUUACGAUUUUGAGCAAAGCCGCGAAGUGAGCCUUUCACCCGAGCUCUUUCUGCAGAGAGGAUCAGUUGAGAGGAUCUACCUGAUAUAUACAUAUGCUUGCACAAAUGUGCGUAUCAGAUUGACCGAUUCGGCUAACUUAUCUUCACUGCAGCAUGAGCUCGGGUGAAAUGAUUACUUCGCGACUGCGCUAAAAAUCAUUGAAAAGGUAGAUAAAUUCUACCGUUUUUUUUUUUCUAGCGACUUCGUACACUUUACUGAUAGCGUUUUCACAGAAGCACCCUGAAUUUAACAAGAGGGAGGCCUCUUGCAGGGUGGCUAGCAAAAUUUCGUUUUAUCAUUCCCUGACUUCCUAGUCACAACCCAUUCACUCUGAGAUACUUGAGGUCAAAAUUCACGUUCUACCUCCGCGUGCUAUGUCUAAGGAGGCUCGACUUAAGUUGUGAUUAUUGUGAUGACUUUCACAAAGAAAUUCUGGAAACGGUAUGAUACAGGGUUAUUCAAAAGUCACGCACCACUGGCCAUGAGGGGGGGGGGGGUGGCCAUUUGAAAUUUUUGAGUUGCCCGCCGCCCCCUCCCCACGAAGGGAUCAAAAACUGGAAAGUACCUAAAAAAGUUUCCCCUUCGAUAAGAGGAAAUACGUCUUGAACCGCAAGUCGAUCUCAUAAUUAGAACUAAAUAUAUGGACAGUGGUGCGUGACUUUGAAUAACCCUGUAUAUUGAUAUGAGAAAUAGUUUAUGAUCAAAGAUUGUAAUUUGAUUCAAAUUUUUUCAACUCUGAAAUAUGAAGAAAUUAAAAAAGAGACAACUUACUAUAAUUUUUAUGAACCGAGGAUUUUUUCAUAAAAUUAUAAGAUCUGUUUUUCGACGAGAAUCCAUGCGUCCAUGCAUUGAAACUGAUUCAGAUGAAACAUAAACGCACAAGUUGUACUUGUGUGACCCUUUGAUUAGUCGCAGUUAUUAGGGUACUGCUUUGGGUGCUGCUGGGCGGGAAUCAUGUUAAGUAUUUGAUUUUUACUGUGAUUGUGUAAUUCGUGAAAAGUAAAAAAAAGUUCUCAUUUUGAAAAAAAGAGAAAAAAGGGAAACAGUCAGAAUAUCACAAGGCGUGUGAGUGAAACUAAGUGAAAGUUCAUCCAAAUUUACGGAUCAUACCUUCUGUUAAUGGAGUGGGUUCUUCCGUUACACUUUGCGUUAUGUAAAAAUCAAAAUUAGCGAUAAUUAUUACUUUAGUUGAAUUAUUGUGAUUACUUCAUCGUUUAAAAUAUGUACAUUUUUAGUAGAAAAUAUUCUGUCCUCCUGUUCAUUUUUGUUUCUUCAUGUAUAUUCUGUGUAAGUAUUGAUGUAAAUGCGCUUUGUAACUUGGUGUACAGUUAUUUGAUGAUUGAUCUCGAAUAGUACAUUGUUAAGAAAAAUUAAAUGAUAAAUAUUUUAAAGUAACGU
rnacentral:lncRNA from 1 species